GCGCGUGUGGUGUAGUGGCUAACACCGUUGUUUUCCAAUUUCUCAACGCGGGUUCGAUUCCCAAGGGGUGCA